rnacentral:rRNA from 1 species
UACAGAGGGGGCAAGCGUUGUUCGGAAUUACUGGGCGUAAAGGGCUCGUAGGCGGCCAACUAAGUCAGACGUGAAAUCCCCCGGCUUAACCUGGGAACUGCGUCUGAUACUGGACGGCUAGAGUUUGGGAGAGGGAUGCAGAAUUCCAGGUGUAGCGGUGAAAUGCGUAGAUAUCUGGAGGAAUACCGGUGGCGAAGGCGGCAUCCUGGACCAACACUGACACUGAAUCGCGAAAGCUAGGGGAGCAAACGGG